GAUGAAGAACGCAGCGAAAUGCGAUAAGUAGUGUGAAUUGCAGAAUUCCGUGAAUCAUCGAAUCUUUGAACGCACAUUGCGCCUCCUGGUAAUCCGUGAGGCAUGCCUGUCCGAGCGUCAGUAAAAAGCAACUCGGCCGCGGCUGGCGGUUGGUGAUGGAGGAAGAGCACGUCUCGUUGUCGGUCUCCCCUCCCAAAAUCAACGGCGGAAUGUCACUGGCACUCGGUGUUGUAGUAUUAUUCGCCGAUCACCCAUUGUUGUUCCUGCCGCCCAAACCCCCACAAUUCUCUUGAUUGACCUCGGAUCAGGUAGGGAUACCCGCUGAACUUAAGCAUAUCAUAGCGGAGA
rnacentral:misc_RNA from 1 species